AAUGAACGCUGGCGGCAGGCCUAACACAUGCAAGUCGAACGAGGUAGCAAUACCUAGUGGCGGACGGGUGAGUAACGCGUGGGAACGUGCCCCUUGGUACGGAAUAGCCCUGGGAAACUGGGAGUAAUACCGCAUGUGGUCGAGAGACGAAAGAUUUAUCUCCAAGGGAUCGGCCCUCGUUGGAUUAGGUAGUUGGGGGGGUACUGGCCUACCAAGCCGACGAUCCAUAGCUGGUUUGAGAGGAUGAUCAGCCACACUGGGACUGAGACACGGCCCAGACUCCUACGGGAGGCAGCAGUGGGGAAUCUUAGACAAUGGGGGAAACCCUGAUCUAGCCAUGCCGCGUGAUCGAUGAAGGCCUUAGGGUUGUAAAGAUCUUUCAGUGGGGAAGAUAAUGACGGUACCCACAGAAGAAGCCCCGGCUAACUCCGUGCCAGCCGCCGCAGUAA
rnacentral:rRNA from 1 species